GACGAACGCUGGCGGCGUGCUUAACACAUGCAAGUCGAACGGUGAAGCGCCUUCCUUUUUGGUUGGUGUGGUUGAGUGGCGAACGGUUGAGUAACACUUGAGUAACCUUCCCUCUUCUUCUGGAUAACCGCAUUAAAGUGUGUCUAAUACGGGAUAUUCUGCUUCUGUCUCAUGAUGGGUCUGGGUAAGCUAUUGUUUCUGUGGUGGCUGGGCUGGCGGCUUAUCAGCUUGUUGGUGGGUUGAUGGCCUACCAAGGCGGUGAGGGGUAGCCGGCUUGGGAGGGUGGACGGUCAGAGUGGGACUGAGACAAGGACGAGACUGAUACGGGAGGCAGAAGGGGAGAAGAUGGAACAAUGGGCGCAAGCCUGAUGCAGCGACGCGGCGUGAGGGAUGGAGGCCUGCGGGUGGUGAACCUCUUUCGGGAGUGAAGCAGGCCUGCCUGGUUUGUGGGUGGGUUGACGGUAGCUGGAUAAGAAGCGCCGGCUAACUACGUG
rnacentral:rRNA from 1 species